rnacentral:rRNA from 1 species
GGAUGAACGCUAGCGAUAGGCCUAACACAUGCAAGUCGAGGGGCAGCACAUGAGUAGCAAUACGAUGGUGGCGACCGGCGCACGGGUGAGUAACACGUAUGCAACCUACCUUUAACAGGGGAAUAACCCGUUGAAAAACGGACUAAUGCCCCAUGACACAGGGGUCCCGCAUGGGAAUAUUUGUUAAAGAUUAAUCGGUUGAAGAUGGGCAUGCGUUCCAUUAGCUUGUUGGUGAGGUAACGGCCCACCAAGGCAACGAUGGAUAGGGGAACUGAGAGGUUUAUCCCCCACACUGGAACUGAGACACGGUCCAGACUCCUACGGGAGGCAGCAGUGAGGAAUAUUGGUCAAUGGAGGCAACUCUGAACCAGCCAAGUCGCGUGAAGGAUGAAGGUCUUAUGGAUUGUAAACUUCUUUUUCAAGGGAAUAAAGUGGGGGACGUGUCCUCCUUUGCAUGUACCUUGCGAAUAAGGAUCGGCUAACUCCGUGCCAGCAGCCGCGGUAAUACGGAGGAUCCGAGCGUUAUCCGGAUUUAUUGGGUUUAAAGGGUGCGCAGGCGGGAUGUUAAGUCGGCGGUGAAAUUUUGCAGCUCAACUGUAAAAGUGCCUUCGAUACUGGCUUCCUUGAGUGUGGAUGAAGUAGGCGGAAUUUGUGGUGUAGCGGUGAAAUGCUUAGAUAUCACGAGGAACUCCGAUUGCGCAGGCAGCUUACUAAACCACUACUGACGCUCAUGCACGAAGGCGUGGGGAUCAAACAGGAUUAGAUACCCUGGUAGUCCACGCAGUAAACGAUGAUUACUAGUUGUUAGCGAUACAAUGUGAGCGACUGAGCGAAAGCGUUAAGUAAUCCACCUGGGGAGUACGUUCGCAAGAAUG